UGUUCCCCAUUCUGUGAGCAGGCAAAUCUAAUCGUAUUGUUCCCUUGCUUAAAAAUCUUUCUGUGCUUAAAAAACUGUGUAUUCAGAUAAAGCCAUAUUCCAUAAACCUGCACAUGGACCCUCCAUGAUCUUCUCAUCUACUCUCCAACUUUCUUAAUUUGCCACUGUUUACAAACCACAUAGAAUUGCUUAUAAUUGGUUCACAUGAAUGACUGACUUAGGAUUGUCAACCAAAAGACAAAACUGUAAAAUAAAAUAUAAAAUAAGUGAGUGGGUCAUGUGUGGUGACUCAUGCAUGUAAUCCCACCAUUUUAGAUGGCUAAGGAUCACUUGAGCCCAGGAGUUUCCGACCAGCAUGGGCAACAUGGGGACAACCUGUGUCCACAAAAAAAAAACUAAAAAUUAGCUGGGCAUGGUGGUGCACAUUUGUAGUCCUAGCUGCUUGGAAGGCUGAGGCAGGAGGAUUGCUUGAGCCCAGGAGUUGGAGGCUGCAGUGGGCUAUAAUUGUGCCACUGCACUCCAGCCUGAGUGGCAGAAUGAAAUCUUGUCUCUAAAAAAUAAAUAAAAUAAGUGCGUGCAUAUGUUAUUUGAGGGAAUAAAAGGACUCUUAACCAUACAACAAAGGAAUCAGAACCAACACCUCAACAUAGGGGAAUGAAGAGAAAAUAUAAAUAUAAAUAAAAGAAGUGAUAAAAGAAAUCUGGCUAUUUAUAUAUACUUAACUUUAAAUGGAUAAGAAUAGACUUGGCCGGGCACGGUGGCUCACGCUUGCAAUCCCAGCACUUUGGGAGGCCAAGGGAGGUGGAUCAUCUGAGGUCGGGAGUUUGAGACCAGCCUGGUCAACAUAGUGAACCCCCAACUCUACUAAAAAUGCAAAAAAUUAGCUGGGCAUGGUGGCGGGCACUGCCUGUAAUCCCAGCUACUUGGGAAGCUGAGGCAGGAGAAUUGCUCGAACCCAGGAGAUGCAGGUUGCAGUGAGCCAAGAUUGCGCCACUGCACUCCAGCCUGGGUGACAGAGUGAGACUCCGUCUCAAAAAAUAAUAAAAAAAAGAAUAAGAAUAGACUGUCUGAGAAUGUAUAAUGUAAGAGCUAAAUAAGUAUUCUUGACAUGAAGAUAUUCUAUAAUGUAACACAAUAUCUUGGCAAAAACUUAGGUGCUUGGCUGAGGUGGAAAGAAAGAGAAGUGGAAGGGAGGAGAAAAAAAGUCUUAUUAUUAAGGGAUAAUAAAUGUAUUCUAAAAAUCUCACUUGAUAGAGGUAGGAAAAUAAUGGAGGAACUCAGUUUUCAUAUAAGAAAAUAAAAUCAUAUGCCUCAUUAUGAACACCAGGAAAAGAAAAUAAUCAAUAAUGGAAUGGAAAAGUAUACUAGUACUCCCAAAGUAAUAAGAGUAAUCAAAAAAAGCAAUGAAAAAAAAAUCAAAGACAAAGGGAAAAAAAGAAAUGGUUGGUAAAACUAAUAAAGAAUAUAAAAG
rnacentral:lncRNA from 1 species